rnacentral:rRNA from 1 species
UGGGGAAUAUUGGACAAUGGGCGAAAGCCUGAUCCAGCCAUGCCGCGUGUGUGAAGAAGGUCUUCGGAUUGUAAAGCACUUUAAGUUGGGAGGAAGGGCAUUAACCUAAUACGUUAGUGUUUUGACGUUACCGACAGAAUAAGCACCGGCUAACUCUGUGCCAGCAGCCGCGGUAAUACAGAGGGUGCAAGCGUUAAUCGGAAUUACUGGGCGUAAAGCGCGCGUAGGUGGUUUGUUAAGUUGGAUGUGAAACCCCCGGGCUCAACCUGGGAACUGCAUUCAAAACCGACUGACUAGAGUAUGGUAGAGGGUGGUGGAAUUUCCUGUGUAGCGGUGAAAUGCGUAGAUAUAGGAAGGAACACCAGUGGCGAAGGCGACCACCUGGACUAAUACUGACACUGAGGUGCGAAAGCGUGGGGAGCAAACA